GAGCAGCCAGCUCGCGAGAGUGAGCAAAUCUCAAAAAGCCAUCCUCAGUUCGGAUUGAAGUCUGCAACUCGACCUUCAUGAAGUUGGAAUCGCUAGUAAUCGCGGAUCAGCAUGCCGCGGUGAAUUACCGGUUCCCGGGCCUU
rnacentral:rRNA from 1 species